CACCAUUUGACGAUCCCCCCGUUUUAGGCAAACGCACGUGCGCGUGGUGUUCAGUUAUAACCGUCGAUUUUUACCAGGGCGUACUGGACUCGAGAUUAAUUUAUUUAAAAACGUUUAAAGUUGAAAUUAAAAAAAAAAUACGUUUCAACAUGAUUGACGAAUCGACGGAGGUAGAUUCCUAUUGAAUCGUUGAAUUCUGUGGUGAACGCAAUGAGAGAGGGCCAAAAGUGCUUGAAAUUGUGGCUGUGAAGUGGAUGUAUAAAGAGGAUAAAAAUGCAAAACGAGGCGUGCUAUUUCCCUCCGGAGAACGAGUAUGAAAACUUCGAAAAACUUCUGAGAUCUCAUACUAAUCCAAAAAUGAGAUGGGAAAAAUUUGAUGUGGAGAUUUUGACUUCUGCCGACGUAGUUGAGCAGAUUUAUGAAGGAAAGCCUGAGAAAUUGAACAUCCAAUCAGCAACUAGUUCGUUUUUGGCACUUUGGCGUGAUCAUGAAGGAGGAUGUGCUGAGCGCCGCAAAGCUACUCGAAGUGAAAUCUCAUAGAAUAUUAAGAUAAUAAUUUUUGUUUUUGAUUCCUUUAAAUUAUACAGUCUAAGUGUUCUAGCAGUACCAAAGUUAUAGCGUUCCUAUAGAAUACCUUAUAAAUGUACUAAUAUUAUUUUAUAGUCAAUUUGUCAUAAUAAAAAUACUAAAUUGUGA